rnacentral:rRNA from 1 species
GUCGAGCGAACGGACGAGAAGCUUGCUUCUCUGAUGUUAGCGGCGGACGGGUGAGUAACACGUGGAUAACCUACCUAUAAGACUGGGAUAACUUCGGGAAACCGGAGCUAAUACCGGAUAAUAUUUUGAACCGCAUGGUUCAAAAGUGAAAGACGGUCUUGCUGUCACUUAUAGAUGGAUCCGCGCUGCAUUAGCUAGUUGGUAAGGUAACGGCUUACCAAGGCAACGAUGCAUAGCCGACCUGAGAGGGUGAUCGGCCACACUGGAACUGAGACACGGUCCAGACUCCUACGGGAGGCAGCAGUAGGGAAUCUUCCGCAAUGGGCGAAAGCCUGACGGAGCAACGCCGCGUGAGUGAUGAAGGUCUUCGGAUCGUAAAACUCUGUUAUUAGGGAAGAACAUAUGUGUAAGUAACUGUGCACAUCUUGACGGUACCUAAUCAGAAAGCCACGGCUAACUACGUGCCAGCAGCCGCGGUAAUACGUAGGUGGCAAGCGUUAUCCGGAAUUAUUGGGCGUAAAGCGCGCGUAGGCGGUUUUUUAAGUCUGAUGUGAAAGCCCACGGCUCAACCGUGGAGGGUCAUUGGAAACUGGAAAACUUGAGUGCAGAAGAGGAAAGUGGAAUUCCAUGUGUAGCGGUGAAAUGCGCAGAGAUAUGGAGGAACACCAGUGGCGAAGGCGACUUUCUGGUCUGUAACUGACGCUGAUGUGCGAAAGCGUGGGGAUCAAACAGGAUUAGAUACCCUGGUAGUCCACGCCGUAAACGAUGAGUGCUAAGUGUUAGGGGGUUUCCGCCCCUUAGUGCUGCAGCUAACGCAUUAAGCACUCCGCCUGGGGAGUACGACCGCAAGGUUGAAACUCAAAGGAAUUGACGGGGACCCGCACAAGCGGUGGAGCAUGUGGUUUAAUUCGAAGCAACGCGAAGAACCUUACCAAAUCUUGACAUCCUU